rnacentral:rRNA from 1 species
CGUGUAGGCUGCUCUGCAAGUCGGGUGUGAAAGCCCUGGGCUCAACCUAGGAAGUGCACUCGAAACUGCGGAGCUUGAGUUUCGGAGAGGAAGGCGGAAUUCUCGGUGUAGAGGCGAAAUUCGUAGAUAUCGAGAGGAACACCGGUGGCGAAGGCGGCCUUCUGGACGAUGACUGACGCUGAGACGCGAAAGCGUGGGGAGCAAACA